rnacentral:rRNA from 1 species
CCUACGGGAGGCAGCAGUGGGGAAUAUUGGGCAAUGGGCGCAAGCCUGACCCAGCAACGCCGCGUGAAGGAAGAAGGCCCUCGGGUUGUAAACUUCUUUUAACAGGGACGAAGAAAGUGACGGUACCUGUUGAAUAAGCCACGGCUAACUACGUGCCAGCAGCCGCGGUAAUACGUAGGUGGCAAGCGUUAUCCGGAUUUACUGGGUGUAAAGGGGGCGGAGGCGGCAAUGCAAGCCAGGAGUGAAAGCCCGGGGCCCAACCCCGGGACUGCUCUUGGAACUGAAUGGCUGGGGUACAGGAGGGGCAGGCGGAAUGCCGAGUGUAGCGGUGAAAUGCGUAGAUAUUAGGAGGAACACCGGUGGCGAAGGCGGCCUGUUGGACUGUGACUGACGUUGAGGCCCGAAGGCGUGGGGAGCAAACAGGAUUAGAUACCCUAGUAGUC